AGUGAACGCUGGCGGUAGGCCUAACACAUGCAAGUCGAACGGCAGCACAGUAAGAGCUUGCUCUUACGGGUGGCGAGUGGCGGACGGGUGAGGAAUACAUCGGAAUCUACUUUUUCGUGGGGGAUAACGUAGGGAAACUUACGCUAAUACCGCAUACGACCUACGGGUGAAAGCAGGGGAUCUUCGGACCUUGCGCGAUUGAAUGAGCCGAUGUCGGAUUAGCUAGUUGGCGGGGUAAAGGCCCACCAAGGCGACGAUCCGUAGCUGGUCUGAGAGGAUGGUCAGCCACACUGGAACUGGGACACGGUCCAGACUCCUACGGGAGGCAGCAGUGGGGAAUAUUGGACAAUGGGCGCAAGCCUGAUCCAGCCAUACCGCGUGGGUGAAGAAGGCCUUCGGGUUGUAAAGCCCUUUUGUUGGGAAAGAAAAGCAGCAGGUUAAUACCCCGCUGUUCUGACGGUACCCAAAGAAUAAGCACCGGCUAACUUCGUG
rnacentral:rRNA from 1 species